AGACACCAACUGUUGGGGUUCUAUCUCAACAUUCUCCAGAUUCAGAUGUGAGCGAUAAACCGACUUCAUCCCUCCAACAGAAACCAACUGUUGAGGUUCCAUCUCAACAUUCUCCAGAUUCAGAUGUGAGCCAUUAACUGACUUCAUCCCUCCAACAGAAACCAACUGUUGAGGUUCUAUCUCAACAUUCUCUAGAUUCAGAUGACAGCCAUAAACAGACUUCAUCCCUCCAACAGAUUGACAGCAGGACAAAUCGCUGGAAGUGGGUAUGUCUCAAGCUUCUUCCACUUGGUCCACUCCAAAGCGGGCUGCAAAGGGGAAGAAGUGGAAGUAGUUGAAUGACACAUGUUGCAUUUUGUAACUGGCAACAAAGUACCAGGUAAAAAAGAUUGUGAAGCCUGCCUCCAUAAAGAACUAGUAGCUCUACAGGACAGAGAUUGGCUUGCCAUCAAGUACUACAUCCAUAACAGAAUUAUAUUAAAAAAAGGGAAAAAAAAUGUUUUCCCACAUCUUCUGUGGUAGUUUGAGUAUGUUACCAGCAAUUAAAAAAGCAAAAUAAACA